UACGAAGGGGCUAGCGUUGCUCGGAAUCACUGGGCGUAAAGGUGCGUAGGCGGGUCUUUAAGUCAGGGUGAAAUCCUGGAGCUCAACUCCAGAACUGCCUUUGAUACUGAAGAUCUUGAGUUCGGAGAGGUGAGUGGAACUGCGAGUGUAGAGGUGAAAUUCGUAGAUAUUCGCAAGAACACCAGUGGCGAAGGCGGCUCACUGGCCCGAUACUGACGCUGAGGCACGAAAGCGUGGGAGCAAACAGG
rnacentral:rRNA from 1 species